rnacentral:lncRNA from 1 species
AUGCAUAUAUGAGAAAAUGAUGUAAAGAUGCAUUGAGAACACAGAGUACCUCACAAAAUGCACAGGUCAAGAUAAAAUACUUCAUUUUUGUGCCACUUAGAAUCUAAGCAUGAAGAAGGCAAUGCUCCUCUGAGGAAAUGGACAACACCAGGAGGGUUUUUACUUGACCUGGAAUGCAUCCCUCCCCCCACCCAACUCUGCCUCCUAGAAUCCCCAACUUCUUUCAGAAAUCUCCUACGUGUUAGCUACUAUAAGGGGACUAUUCAAAUUCCUUGAGUUGCCACUGUCUCCUGAAGAGAAUUGAAAACAUAUGGCAUUUGUUUUAGAAUUUAACCUGUAAAUAUAUUUCAUGUACAUUGUUUUUUGCAUAUUCUCUCUUCCAUAAUGCCAUGAGCUCCUUGAAUACAGAGACUGGUUUUGCCUGCUUUUCAUAUCCUGGUUCCUGGCAUAUAGUAAUUGCUUAAUAAAGUUUGU